AUUGAACGCUGGCGGCAGGCCUAACACAUGCAAGUCGAGCGGAGCGGCGGACGGGUGAGUAAUGCCUAGGAAUCUGCCUGGUAGUGGGGGACACCGUCCGGAAACGGGCGCUAAUCCCGCAUACUAUCAGAUGAGCCUCGGUCGGCUUAGCUAGUUGGGGGGGUAAAGGCCUACCACGGCGACGAUCCGUAACUGGUCUGAGAGGAUGAUCAGUCAAACUGGAACUGAGACACGGUCCAGACUCCUACGGGAGGCAGCAGUGGGGAAUAUUGGACAAUGGGCGAAAGCCUGAUCCAGCCAUGCCGCGUGUGUGAAGAAGGUCUUCGGAUUGUAAAGCACUUGAAGUUGGGAGGCGUUACCAACAGAAUAAGCACCGGCUAACUUCGUGCCAGCAGCCGCGGUAAUUC
rnacentral:rRNA from 1 species